GUGCGGCCAUGCUGGUCAGCGCCCGCGCCCUCCAGGGGCUCGGCUCGGCGUUCAUCGCGCCGGCCGCGCUC
rnacentral:tRNA from 1 species